UCCGGUUUGUCACCGGCAGUCUCAUUAGAGUGCCCUUGCGUAGCAACUAAUGAUAAGGGUUGCGCUCGUUGCGGGACUUAACCCAACAUCUCACGACACGAGCUGACGACGGCCAUGCAGCACCUGUGUUCUAGUUCUCUUUCGAGCACUUUCACAUCUCUGCAAAAUCCUAGACAUGUCAAGGGUAGGUAAGGUUUUUCGCGUUGCAUCGAAUUAAACCACAUCAUCCACCGCUUGUGCGGGCCCCCGUCAAUUCCUUUGAGUUUUAGCCUUGCGGCCGUACUCCCCAGGCGGGGUACUUAAUGCGUUAGCUUCGGCACGGAAUCCGUUGAUAAGACCCCACACCUAGUACCCAACGUUUACGGCGUGGACUAC
rnacentral:misc_RNA from 1 species